rnacentral:rRNA from 1 species
GACGAACGCUGGCGGCGUGCCUAACACAUGCAAGUUGAGCGACGAACCAGGGCUUGCCCUGGGGCAAAGCAGCGAACGGGUGAGUAACACGUGGGUAACCUACCCCGAUAACCGGGACAACCCGAGGAAACUCGGGCUAAUACCGGAUGUGCUCACUGGACUUCGGUUCAGUGCGUAAAGGAAGCUUCGGCCUCCGUAUCGGGAGGGGCCCGCGGCCCAUUAGUUUGUUGGUGAGGUAACGGCUCACCAAGACCGCGAUGGGUAGCUGGUCUGAGAGGACGAUCAGCCACACUGGGACUGAGACACGGCCCAGACUCCUACGGGAGGCAGCAGUGGGGAAUCUUGCGCAAUGCGCGAAAGCGUGACGCAGCAACGCCGCGUGGGGGAAGAAGGCCUUCGGGUUGUAAACCCCUUUCAGGAGGGACGAAGGUUCGGCGGUGAAUAGCCGUCCGGACUGACGGUACCUCCACAAGAAGCCCUGGCUAACUACGUG